UCAUUACGUGGUCUUUACGACGAAAUGAUGUACUUCUUCUUUACGACGAAAUGUUUUCCUCGCUAAGUUACGAUGAAUUGGCGAGGAAAUAUGCGUUACGACGAACGAUUAACGAUGAAACGUGUUUUCUCGUUAAGUCCUCGUAAAGCCUCUUUUACGACGAACUCACGAAGAAUACCGCCGUCGUUAAUCUCAUGUUUUCUUGUAGUGAUAGUUGCUUUCCAAGCGCCACUCA
rnacentral:lncRNA from 1 species